rnacentral:rRNA from 1 species
UACGAGGGGGGCGAGCGUUGUUCGGAAUUAUUGGGCGUAAAGGGUGCGUAGGCGGUUCCGCAAGUCCUGUGUGAAAUCUUCGGGCUCAACUCGAAGUCUGCACGGGAAACUGCGGGGCUUGAGUGUGGGAGAGGUGAGUGGAAUUCCCGGUGUAGCGGUGAAAUUCGUAGAUAUUCGCAAGAACACCAGUGGCGAAGGCGGCUCACUGGCCCGGUACUGACGCUGAGGUGCGAAAGCGUGGGGAGCAAACAGG